UCUUCCUCUCCACGCUACGUCGGGCUUUGGACCCCGCCCUUACAGCUAGAGGCUGGCUACUGGUGCGCAGGCGCAGUGGCUAGCAACCAGCAACAUUCAAGAUAGUGGCUACAAAAUCAGUUUGGAUUCCCAAGUGACUACAAUGAACAGAGCUCCCCCACCAUCUCAUAAUGGAUAUGUAGUGUGAAUUGGAAUUAAACUUUCAUUGUUUUAA